UAUCUUUUUUAUUACGUACAAAAUGCUUGCUUAGGUUGACAUUUUGUGCGUAGUAAUAGAGGUAUC
rnacentral:pre_miRNA from 1 species